GAUGAACGCUGGCGGCGUGCCUAAUACAUGCAAGUCGAGCGAAGCGGGGACGGGUGAGUAACACGUGGAUAACCUCCUAUAAGACUGGGAUAACUUCGGGAAACCGGAGCUAAACCCGAUCCUUAUAGAUGGUUGCGCGCUGCAUUAGCUAGUUGGUAAGGUAACGGCUUACCAAGGCAACGCUGCAUAGCCGACCUGAGAGGGUGAUCAGCCACACUGGAACUGAGAAACGGUCCAGACUCCUACGGGAGGCAGCAGUGGGGAAUCUUCCGCAAUGGGCGAAAGCCUGACGUAGCCACGCCGCGUGAGUGAUGAAGGUCUUCGGAUCGUAAAACUCUGUUAGUAGGGAAGUGUUACCUAAUCAGAAAGCCACGGCUAACUACGUGCCAGCAGCCGCGGUAAUUC
rnacentral:rRNA from 1 species